ACGAACGCUGGCGGCGUGCUUAACCCAUGCAAGUCGAACGGAAAGGCCCUGCUUUUGUGGGGUUCUCGAGUGGCGAACGGGUGAGUAACACGUGAGUAACCUACCCUUGACUUUGGGAUAACUUCAGGAAACUUGGGCUAAUACCGGAUAGGAGCUCCUGCUGCAUGGUGGGGGUUGGAAAGUUUCGGCGGUUGGGGAUGGACUCGCGGCUUAUCAGCUUGUUGGUGGGGUAGUGGCUUACCAAGGCUUUGACGGGUAGCCGGCCUGAGAGGGUGACCGGCCACAUUGGGACUGAGAUACGGCCCAGACUCCUACGGGAGGCAGCAGUGGGGAAUAUUGCACAAUGGGCGGAAGCCUGAUGCAGCAACGCCGCGUGCGGGAUGACGGCCUUCGGGUUGUAAACCGCUUUCGCCUGUGACGAAGCGUGAGUGACGGUAAUGGGUAAAGAAGCACCGGCUAACUACGUG
rnacentral:rRNA from 1 species